rnacentral:rRNA from 1 species
UACGUAGGGGGCAAGCGUUGUCCGGAAUCAUUGGGCGUAAAGCGCGUGUAGGCGGCCCGAUAAGUCCGCUGUGAAAGUCCAAGGGCUCAACCCUGGGAUGCCCGGUGGAUACUGUCGGGCUCGAGUCCGGAAGAGGCGAGUGGAAUCCUGGUGUGAGUGGUGAAGUGACGCAGAUAUCAGGAGGAACACCAAUUGCGAAGGCAGCUCGCUGGGACGUAACUGACGCUGAGACGCGAAAGCGUGGGAGCAAACAGG